rnacentral:lncRNA from 1 species
GGGUUGUUUGCUAACAAACAAUUUUUAAUCAUGAAGGUACUGUUAACAUUUUAUCAAAAGCUUUUUAUAGAUUUAUUAUUAUGGCCAUAUGAUUGUUCUGUGUUAUUCUAUUCUUUGGUGGAUUAUAUUGAUCAGUUUCAAAUGUUGACUCAAUCUUCCUGCUCUUGAUAAAUUCUACUUUGUGAUAAUGUAUGUUAAUUUUUCUUCUGUAGUGUCUUUCAAUGUGUUUCAAGUUCUACUGUAAUGUGAAUUUCUGGAUUUCGAAUUUCAAUUUUUGUUAAGCAAUGUCAACUGUGUUUUCUAAUCUGGUUCCAGAGGGCACAUAACUUUGCUUAUCAGGGGCAGUGGUGCUCAUCAGAUUCCAUCUGUUCCCUCACCACCUUCCCCACCCCUGAAAUUAGUCAGGGCUGUUUGGCAGGUUUUUGGUCAAUGGGCUGUGAGUGGAAGUCACCUGGACCAUUUUGAAGCCAAAGCAUAAAAGAGCUGGUGCAUGACACUCCAGCUCACUCACUCCUCCCCUGCAAACUGUGGUUAUGGGGUUUUCAUGCUCCAGAUGAUAUAGUGCCAAGGUGGUGUUGUCAUUCUCAGCUCACUUUCCCAAAGUCUAUGUGGACCAAACCCUCUAAUGUCUUACAAUAUAAGUUGAUCAUAAACAGAAAAUAAACUUAAUUUUAUGAAGCCACUGAAUCUUUAAGGUUAUUGGUUACUGCAGCAUAGAGCAGCUCAAUCUGAUCAAUACUAAUCAUGGAAAUUGAGAAUAUAACAUUUUUAUCAUAAAAUUAAAACAAUAAAUGUUUGCAGAAAUUAAUGGAGUAUUUAUAUAAUGCAUUCAGCAGAGGAGCUCACUCAGUAAUUAUCAACAGUAGCUAUACACAAGAUGGAAAGCAUAACAAUGGAAAUAAAAUAGUUUUAAUUGCUAACAGUCAUUAAAUUUCAUAGGUCUCAUCUUCAAUGCAGUAGUGGUAUUUCAAGCAAAUUGAAAUAAAUUAUUUAACUUAUUUAUUACUUUAUUCAACAUAUAUUUUAUUGACUACUGACUAUAUUCUAUUCUAAGAAUAAAAUAGUUCCUCUUCUCAUUUAAGAAAGAGUGAUAUAAAGAUUCGUGUAUCUACAUUUAAAGGAGCUCAGUAAUCAUGUAUAGAGACAAUAUGGAUACAAAAUUCACUGACAACUGGCUUCACUGGUCCUUCCUAACCAUACUCUGAAGAUUGUAUCCAUUUUAUUCCUUUGCCCUUCUAAAAGCAACACUCCUAAUGUCCAGCAAACCAGUCCAAAGGCAAAGAGCCAAGGGAGGAAGGGACAGCAGCAAAGGAUAGCACUACUCCACUGUACAAUCAGUUCUUUAUAAAACAGAAUUGACUGUGAAUUGAAAUGCUUCAUUAAAUUACCUGUUAUUCAGAGGCAAUCCUCUCAGCCAUUUUGGAGAGAGCACAAAAAUAAAGUAUAAAUUUCUACAAGUUUUUUCUUCAUUUCUGACCUUUUUACAUAAAUUAAACUACUUUACCAGACACCUGGGAGGAAGAUAAAUACCUAUGGCUAAUACUUAAGUUGGGUUGACUUCUGGUUUCUGUUCUAGCUCUAAUGAAGAAAUGGUGGUGACAAUUCUAGAAAAGAAAAUGCCAAAGAUGGAAAACCUUUAAAAUAUAACUUAAAGGUGAAGAAGACCACCUGGACCGGCCACCAUGCAAGAUCAAAGAAAAGGCCCAAAAUAUGGCAAAAGUAUUGAUUACAAGAGUACUAUUUAAUAAACAUCCUAUAUGCUAAACUCUGUUUUAGAGUUUGGUUCCUGGGGUACUCAAAUUGUGCACCUGCCAAGCAAAGCAAUGAUUUGUUAUAAAGCCUUUCCAUAUCUGCAGUAAAGAAGGUAGUUUUACAUAACAAUGAUGACUAUGGGCACUGGAAUUAGCAAGUCCUGGAUUUGAACCUUGGCUUUGCCACUUACUAGCUGUGUGGUCCCAGGAAACCAAAGUUCAGAGACAUAAACAAAAGAGAAAAAACCCACAAAACUUCCUCAAGUCAUAGGUCCAGUAAUAAGGUAAGCUGGGAAUUUAACUCACAUUUUCUGACACUAAAACUAUUGUUCAUUCUCCUGCACUAAGCUUCUACCAUAAUUUAUACACAAUGGACUUUACCUAAGGUUAAUAUAAUUUUGCAAUCACUAGACAAUUGGGAUCAUCUUCCUCUAUCUCUGAAGGUUGGUUCUAUUCGGAUUAUGUUGUGGUUGAGAGGUUUUAUUACAGCUACCAUGUAUUUACCCUAGGCUGAAAUAAUGCAAGCAAUUUUAAUGGAGUGCCAAUUAUAUGCAAAUUUCUGUCCCAGUACUGGUGGAGAAGAAAACAAACAUUUAUGAAUAAAAUCAUCAUCAAAGGAUCUCUUUGUUCAGAUUUUUAGAGAAUAAUAUGAUAUUGCAGAUGCAAUCUUACCUUCAGAUAUUACAUUGAAAUAUUGCCAGUGGCAUGGCAUCUAUCCAAUAACUGGCUUAACUUCCCCUAAAUACAAGCUAUGCUUUAGUUAAACAAAUAUUUAUUGUGUGCCAACCAUGGACUCGGUAUUCGGGGCACAAUAACGAACAAGGCAUGCAGUGAAGGUAUUGUCCUCAUCAAGUUUACAAUGUAGAGGAAGAUGGGAUACAAGAAGAGCGUAUACAAGAGAACAGAAAAGUGAGCAAAAGAAUGAUAAGAGAUGUAAGGAAAAUUUUAAAGAAUGAAGGGAUAGAGAUUGAAUUGGGAGGUUAUUUUGAAUUAUAUGGUAAUUCAAUUAGAUGAAUUUUUUUUUCUAAUUGAAUUAGAUGGAGAAUCUUUUUCUAAUGAGGUAACACUUGGACUGAGACCUGAUGAAUACUGAAGGAGAGUACUAGAAAAUCCCAGGCAGAGUGUUAUUAGUAGCCAGAGGAAUUGGGCAAUUAGAGAAAGAAAUAAAAGGCAUCAAACUUGGAAGGGGCAAACUUAAAUUGUCCCUGUUU